ensembl:snRNA U6 U6 spliceosomal RNA
AUACUGCUUGGCAGCAUGUAUACUAAAAUUGCAACAAUACAGAGAAGAUUAGCAUGGCCCCUACACAAGGAUAGCAUGCAAAUUUUCCCCAUAUUUUU